AGCGAACGCUGGCGGCGUGCUUAACACAUGCAAGUCGAACGAGUGUAGCAAUACAUUCGUGGCGAACGGGUGCGUAACACGUGGAUAACCUUCCUUGAGGUGGGGAAUAACCCAGUGAAAAUUGGGAUAAUACCGCAUAACAUGACGAUGCCACAUGGUGUUGUCUUCAAAGGCGCAAGUCGCCACAAGAGGGAUCCGCGGCCGAUUAGCUAGUUGGUGAGGUAACGGCUCACCAAGGCAAUGAUCGGUAGCCGGACUGAGAGGUUGGCC
rnacentral:rRNA from 1 species